CCCUUGGAGUUUAUCUUUUUCCUCCUUUCCCUAGCCCUCAUGAAAAAAAAAAUCUCUCUUUUUCUCACAACCAUUUGCAGAAAGCUCCAGUGGUAGACACCGUCGUUGACCUGCAGAUAGUCCGCAUGUCGUCCACUAGUGGCGAGGUCGUGCCCAGCCGUUGGUUACUUCUGAACAGCCAUCUACGUGCAGAUCUCAUCAUUGUCUUUCGCAACUGAUGCUCAGCAUCGCCUUUCGUCUGUGCUGCUGUUCAUUCCCCGAAGCCUCAAUCGUAGAUCCACCAUCAUCAAUGCUUGAGACCACUAGAUAUUUACUUAUUGGGAUUACUAGAGGUUGUAUUCUUUCAAUUCAAAAAGUUAAAGAAAUUGAAGGAUAUUUCGAAGGUUGUUCAAGCUCCCAAGGUGACGAUAAAGGCAAGCUUGAAGGAUUCUUCUUCGGAUCCCCUUUUUUUUUUCUCUCUAAAUCUUAUACUUGAAUUGAUGUAUGAAAAUAUGUUUGUGCAAGCUAUGAGUGGCUAAACUUGCUUAUUUUAGGGUAUUAAUGAAGUUGUUAUGAAUUUAGGUUGGUUCUUUUCAUGGAUAUUGUUGAACUCUUUGCUUUUUAAUGAUAUCGUAUUUCAUUCUCA